GAUGCACAUGUAUUAACGGGCUUCAGUGCCAGUUAAUCGCAAAACGUCUGAAAGAAAUUGCGUGUAUCGACGACGGGAACCUGGCAGCAGUAGGAAACAUACAAAAAAACGAUUAUGGAGCUGGGGAUCAUUCAACACCCUAUUAAAACUCCUCACCUGGCGAUAUCCCUACCAAAGACUAUCGCCAAAAUUACCGCUUUUCUGCCAAUUUCUGACCUGCGCACGUGCACUCAAAUCAAUGUGGAAUGGGAACGUGAAGCAAGACAACAUAUCCGGGCACGUUGCAUAUUUCACUUAUAGUUAUCUGUGGAAGAAAUUCUUAUGAAAGGUAUGAGCAAGUAAUGUCCGUCCGAUCAAGUUAUUUGGAGUCCACACAAUUGUAUUGGGAAUACGAUAAAGUACUAUCGAACGAGUUUCUACCCCGAUUUAGACGUCUUGCUCAAACAAGUACCGGCAACGUGAGACAUUUAAGCGUCAAUUUUUUUCUAAAU